AUACUGAACGGCGCCGCGACUGAGCCCGAGCUUUUCCCCGGCUUCGACCUGCGUGUAUCCCAAUUUCCUCCGCCACUUCUUGAAGCCCCACAGGUCCAUAACGUCAUCCUGGAAUUGCAACAGAGGAAAAUUCCGAAGCGACGGCAAUCCACGAGCGGUAUUCUGCGUCGACUCACUGGCAGUUCAUUUAGUCAGUGGGAGCAGUUGGAUUAAGGCCAAGUCAUUUCUCGUGGCGCGAUUCACCAGGGAGAUUUCGGACCUCCAUGAUAGC
rnacentral:misc_RNA from 1 species